rnacentral:rRNA from 1 species
CUAGCUACAGGCUUAACACAUGCAAGUCGAGGGGCAUCAGGAAGAAAGCUUGCUUUCUUUGCUGGCGACCGGCGCACGGGUGAGUAACACGUAUCCAACCUGCCCUUUACUCGGGGAUAGCCUUUCGAAAGAAAGAUUAAUACCCGAUAGCAUAAUGAUUCCGCAUGGUUUCAUUAUUAAAGGAUUCCGGUAAAGGAUGGGGAUGCGUUCCAUUAGGUUGUUGGUGAGGUAACGGCCCACCAAGCCUUCGAUGGAUAGGGGUUCUGAGAGGAAGGUCCCCCACAUUGGAACUGAGACACGGUCCAAACUCCUACGGGAGGCAGCAGUGAGGAAUAUUGGUCAAUGGGCGCUAGCCUGAACCAGCCAAGUAGCGUGAAGGAUGAAGGCUCUAUGGGUUGUAAACUUCUUUUAUAUAAGAAUAAAGUGCAGUAUGUAUACUGUUUUGUAUGUAUUAUAUGAAUAAGGAUCGGCUAACUCCGUGCCAGCAGCCGCGGUAAUACGGAGGAUCCGAGCGUUAUCCGGAUUUAUUGGGUUUAAAGGGAGCGUAGGUGGACUGGUAAGUCAGUUGUGAAAGUUUGCGGCUCAACCGUAAAAUUGCAGUUGAUACUGUCAGUCUUGAGUACAGUAGAGGUGGGCGGAAUUCGUGGUGUAGCGGUGAAAUGCUUAGAUAUCACGAAGAACUCCGAUUGUGAAGGCAGCUCACUGGACUGCAACUGACACUGAUGCUCGAAAGUGUGGGUAUCAAACAGGAUUAGAUACCCUGGUAGUCCACACAGUAAACGAUGAAUACUCGCUGUUUGCGAUAUACAGUAAGCGGCCAAGCGAAAGCAUUAAGUAUUCCACCUGGGGAGUACGCCGGCAACGGUGAAACUCAAAGGAAUUGACGGGGGCCCGCACAAGCGGAGGAACAUGUGGUUUAAUUCGAUGAUACGCGAGGAACCUUACCCGGGCUUAAAUUGCAGUGGAAUGAUGUGGAAACAUGUCAGUGAGCAAUCACCGCUGUGAAGGUGCUGCAUGGUUGUCGUCAGCUCGUGCCGUGAGGUGUCGGCUUAAGUGCCAUAACGAGCGCAACCCUUAUCUUUAGUUACUAACAGGUUAUGCUGAGGACUCUAGAGAGACUGCCGUCGUAAGAUGUGAGGAAGGUGGGGAUGACGUCAAAUCAGCACGGCCCUUACGUCCGGGGCUACACACGUGUUACAAUGGGGGGUACAGAAGGCAGCUAGCGGGUGACCGUAUGCUAAUCCCAAAAUCCUCUCUCAGUUCGGAUCGAAGUCUGCAACCCGACUUCGUGAAGCUGGAUUCGCUAGUAAUCGCGCAUCAGCCACGGCGCGGUGAAUACGUUCCCGGGCCUUGUACACACCGCCCGUCAAGCCAUGGGAGCCGGGGGUACCUGAAGUACGUAACCGCAAGGAUCGUCCUAGGGUAAAACUGGUGACUGGGG